rnacentral:rRNA from 1 species
UACGUAGGGUGCGAGCGUUAAUCGGAAUUACUGGGCGUAAAGCGUGCGCAGGCGGUCUGUUAAGACCGAUGUGAAAUCCCCGGGCUUAACCUGGGAACUGCAUUGGUGACUGGCAGGCUUUGAGUGUGGCAGAGGGAGGUAGAAUUCCACGUGUAGCAGUGAAAUGCGUAGAGAUGUGGAGGAACACCGAUGGCGAAGGCAGCCCCCUGGGUCAAGACUGACGCUCAUGCACGAAAGCGUGGGGAGCAAACAGG